rnacentral:rRNA from 1 species
CUGAACGCCUCUAAGUCAGAAUCCGUGCUAGAAACGAUGAUUUUGUUCUCGCACUGUUGACUUGAGUUAAAAUAGAGCUUUGCUCGUGUACCAAAUCAGGUGGGCUGGGUUGUCAUGGCGGAAAUGCUGUGGUGACUUGUCUACGAAUUGUAAUUAUCAUAUGGGCGGGGUAAAAUCCUUUGCAGACGACUUGAAUGGGAACGGGGUACUGUAAGCGGUAGAGUAGCCUUGUUGCUACGAUCCGCUGAGGUUAAGCCCUUGUUCUAAAGAUUUGU